rnacentral:lncRNA from 1 species
GGAGUGUCUAUGUGGGUCAUGCCAGAUAGUCUAUGCUAACUGAUAUGGUUGGGCUGUGUCCCCACCCAAAUCUCAUCUUGAAUUGUAGUUCCCAUAACCCCACUUGUCGUGGGCGGUACUCAGUGGGAGGUAACUGAACCAUGGGGGCGGCUACCUCCAUGCUGUUCUCGUGGUAGUGAGUUCUCACGAGAUCUGAUGGUUUUAUAAGGGGCUUUCCCCCCUUUGCUCAGCACUUCUCGCUCCUGCUGCCUGGUGAAGAGGUGGCUUCCGCCAGGAUUAUAAAUUUCCCGGGGCCUCCCCAGCCAUGCAGAACUGUGAGUCAAUUAAACCUCUUUUCUUUAUAAUUUACCCGGUCUUGGGUAUUUCUUCAUAGCAGCAUGAGAAUGGACUAAUAACACUCACAACGUGACUUAGGGUUGGAACUUGGGCCACGUGGCAUCAGCUUGAUCUGUGCAGGGGCUGGAGGCUAAGAAAAGCCAUGCAGACAGUCAGCCAGGUGUAUGUAGUUGACUCUCUAUAAACACCCUGGCUAGAAAGGCUUGGGUCAGCUUCUCUAGUUGGCAGCACUUUGUGUGUUUUGCCACACAUCCCUGCUGGGAGAAAUAAAGGCUGUCCACACAACCCCACUGGGAGAGGACACUUGCAGGCUUCCACCCGAUCUCUCCUGGAUCCAGCCCUAUGCACCUCUUCCUUUUGUUAAGUUUUUUGUUUUUUUGUUUUUUUUUUUUUAAACAGAGUCUUGCUCUGUUGCCCAGGCUGGAAUGCAAUGGUGCAAUCUCAGCUCACUGCAACCUCCGCCUCCCAGGUUCAAGCAAUUCUCUUGCCUCAGCCUCCUGAGUAGCUGGGACUACAGGUGUGUGCCACCACACCCAGCUAAUUUUAUAUUUUUAGUAGAGAUGGGGUUUCACCAUAUUGGCCAGGCUGGUCUUGAAUUCCUGAUUUCAAGUGAUCCACCUGCCUCGGCCUCCCAAAGUGCUGGGAUUACAGGCAUGAGCCACCACACCCAACUCUGCUGAUUUUUAACUGUACCCUUCUACUGUAAUAAACCAUGCCACUGUGAUAAACCAUAACUGUGAGUAUGACAGCUUUGCUGAGCUCUGUGAGUCCUUCUGGCAAACCAUUGUGCCUGAGGAUACCCUUGGACAUCAACACACAGGGAGGCUUUUCUUUUCUUUCCUUUUUUUUUUCUUUUUUUGAGACAAAGUCUAGCCCUAUUGCCCAGGCUGUGGAGUGCAGUGGUACGAUCUUGGCUCACCUGGCUAAUUUUUGUAUUUUUUUUAGGGACGGGGUCUUGCCAUGUUGCCCAGGCUGGUCUUGAACUCCUGACCUCAAAUGAUCCGCCUGCCUCGGCCUCCCAAAGUGCUGGGAUUACAGGCGUGAGACGCUGCGCCCGGCCACAGGGAGGCUUUUCUUGGCAUCCAGAACCAGGUGGAGAAUCGGAGGCAGAGCGUGGACAGUCUACCCUUUUGUGGUAUCAUAUCCUGGGCUUCAGGGAGCUUGGCUCUGUGUGGGUUUUUCCCUGAGGGCCGCUCCACUGCAUAACUCUGGGGCCUCAUUUGCAUCCUGGUCUAGGUAAUGGUGCCCCCCUGGAGUUGUGCAAGGACGGCCUGACUGGUUAAGGGAACCACUACCUCCCUGCCUUCCCGGUGCCGUAUCCCCCACUCCCGAUAAGUCAUGGGGCAGUUUUCCUGGGAUUAGGAUCCCUGCCUGCUUUAUAUUUGCUGGCAGCUGGUUUGAUUUUCUGUCCUUCUAGAGAACCCUGACUAAUACAGGUCCAUGAAGGACAUUUUGAAAACAGCACGAAGACCACUCUGCAUCACACCCACCUUGUUUCCUGAUCUUCUGAGACCAGAGCAGACCUGUGGAGGAGAGACGGAGACUGGGCGUUAUUUGCUUAUUUUUGGGAGCCUGGGCAUUUUCCCUUUUUUUUCUUUAACUUAUUUUAUUUUUAUUUAUUUAUUAUUAUUAAGAUACAGGGUCUUGGCUGGGUGCAGUGGCUCAUGCCUAUAAUCCCAGCACUUUGGGAGGCUGAGGUGGGUGGAUCACUUGAGGUCAGGAGUUCGAGACCAGCCUGGCCAACAUGGUAAAACCCUGUCUCUACUAAAAAUACAAAAAUUAGCCGGGUGUGGUGGUGGGUGCCUGUAAUCCCAGCUACUCGGGAGGCUGAGGCAGGAGAAUCGCUUGAACCCGGGAGGUGGAGGUUGCAGUGAGCCAAGAUCGCACCAUUGCACUCUGGCCCCUGGGCGACAAGAGUGAAAAUCUGUCUUAAAAAAAAAAAAAAGAUACAGGGUCUUGUUAUGUUGCCCAGGCUGGAGGGCAGUGGUGCAAUCAUGGCUCACUGCAGCUUCCAGCUCCGGGCUCAAGUGAUCCUCCCACCUCAGCCUCCCAAGUAGCUGGGACUACAAGGUAUACACCAUCAUGCCUGGCUAACUUUUAAACUUUUUGUAGAGAUGGAGUCUCAAUAUGUUGCCCAAGUUGGUCUCGAACUCCUGACCUCAAAUGGUCCUCCUGCUUUGGCCUCCGAAAGUGCUGGGAUUACAGGCGUGAGCCACAGUGCCCAUUCUUGGGCAUUUUCUACCUGUUCGUGGAGGCUGUAAGCCCUAUGAGGACCGACACUGCUGUAUCUGGUACAAAACAGAUGUCAGCGUGCAUCUGCUGCGUAACAAAUGAGCCCAAACAGACAGUUUUGAGGAAAUUGGCCAAGGCCCUUCACUAACAUAAAAUGAAGCCAAUAAUGUUGCUCAGGGUCUACUGGAUUGGGGGAGUCUGAAUCUACCUGCUGGGACCUGGACAAAGGUCACCUUUCAUCAUUAUGAUAACAUUGAGAUUGCGAUAAUAUGAGAACAUCAUGAUAACUUUUUUUUUUUUUUUGAGACAGGGUCUUGCUCUGUUGCCCAGGCUGGAGUGCAGUCAUAGCUUGCUGUAGCCUUGACCUCCUGGGCUCCAGCCAUCUGCCUGCCUCACCCUUCUGAGUAGCUGGACUAGAGGUGUACAUCACCACACCUGGAUGAUAUUUAUUUAUUUAUUUAUUUUUGAGACAGAAUCUCAUUCUGUCGCCAGGCUGGAGUGCAGUGGUCUGAUCUCGGCUCACUGCAACCUCCGCCUCCCAGGUUCAAGUGAUUCUCCUGCCUCAGCCUUCCAAGUAGGUGGGACUACAGGCACGAGCCACCAUGCCCAGCUAAUUUUUGUAUUUUUAGAAGAGAUGGGGUUUCACCAUGUUGGCCAGGCUGGUCUCGAUCUCUUGGCCUUGUGAUCGGCCCACCUCAGCCUCCCAAACUACUGGGAUUACAGGCGUGAGCCACCACACCCGGCCGAUAAUUUUUAUUUUUAUUUUAUUUGUUUAUUUAUUUUUUUGAGAUGGAGUCUCACUUUGUCGCCGAGUGCAGUGGUACUAUCUCGGCUCACUGCAACCUCUGCCCCCUGGGUUCAAGCGAAUCUCCUGCCUCGGCCUCCCAAGUAGCUGGGAUUACAGAUGUGAGCCACCAUGUCCAGCUAAUUUUUGUAUUUUUAGUAGAGAUGAGGUUUCACCAUGCUGGCCAGGCUGGUCUCGAACUCCUGACCUCAUGUGAUCUGCCCACCUCGGCCUCCCAAAGUGCUGGGAUUACAGGCGUGAGCCACCAUGGCCGGCCACUUAGUUCCAUUUUCUGUCCCUGAACAAGGACCCAUCUUCCUCUCUAGCCUCCCCCAAGGGAGUAGGCAGCCUCCCGUGACUGUCAGCUCUCUGCCCAUGGUCCCCUGCACACCUACCUGUUUUCCACUGGUGCCACCUCUGGCUUCUCUUCAGACCUGGGCAGCACAAACUCCGGCUGGGGCCUCGCGCUGUGGACAGAGAGAACGAGGUGACAAGGGUGACUAGCCCAGCCAGGCCAAGGGGUGGGCUCUCAGCUAGUACUGGCCUCUCUGGUUUUCCUGUCCCCUGGGACCUGUUUUCCAAACCAGUGAGAUGUUCCCUGCCUUUGCUAUUUGAGAAAACUUCUGGGACCAAGACUCUGUCUUAUUUGCCUCUGUUUCCCUCAAAGCUGGCAUUGGACCUGGCAUGAUAAAGGCUGUUUUUUUUUGUUUUUUUUUUUGAGACAGGAUCUUGCUCUGUUGCCCAGGCUGGAGUGCAAUGGUACAAUCAUGGCUCACUGCAGCCUCAACUUCCUGGGCUCAAGCAGUCGUCCCGAUUCAGUCUCCCUGCAAGUAGCUGAACUACAGGCGCAUGCCACCACACCUGGCUAAUUUAUUUUUUUUUUUUUUUGAGACAGAGUCUUGCUCUGUCACCCACGCUGGAGUGCAGUGGCAUGAUCUCGGCUCACUGCAACCUCCGCCUCCCAGGUUCAAGUGAUUCUCCUGGCUCAGCCUCCCAAGUAGCUGGGAUUACAGGCACGCACCACCACGCCUGGCUAAUUUUUGUAUUUUUGGUAGAGACGGAGUUACGCCAUGUUGUCCAGGUUGUUCUCCAACUCCUGACCUCACACAAUCCUCCUGCCUCAGCCUCCCAAAGUGCUGGGAUUACAGCCUCUCAAAGUGCUGGGUGAGCCACCGCGCCCGUCUUGACUUUUAUGCUUUAUGGAGCGUGAAGUCUGUGCUCAACCUUUUUUGCCAAGGGUGCCUCAUCUUGCACAAUAACCUCCAAGGUGGUUGUUAGCUUUUUAUUUGCUUAAUGUUACCUUGCAGCUCAAUGCGGGAGCCAGUAUUUGAACCCAGGUCUGAGUUUAAAGUCCUUGCCAGAAGGGCAGCGUCUUGAGCCCUGCACAGGACAAUGGUCCCUGCUGCCCAGAAGUCACCGGGUUGCCCUAACUGAGAGUUCAGCUCAGCCCCCCGCUGCCCCGACCCAGCCCCAGCAGAAACCACUCUGCACACACCUCUCCCUCCUGGCCUUCAGUCUUUCCUCUUCGUAUCUGAAAGAAAGAAAAAGAUGUCAGACACAACCUUCCUUUCCCCUGAGAUAUACUUUUUGGGGAAAUCCCUUUCCUUUUCAAGCAGAGAAACAAGCUCUCUUUUUUCUUUCUUUUCUUCUUCUUCUUCUUCCUUUUUUUUUUUUUUUUUUUUUUUUUUGAGAUGGAGUCUUGCACUGUCGCCCAAGCUGGAGUGCAGUGGUGCGAUCUUGGCUCACUGCAACCUCCACCUCCCCGGUUUGAGUGAUUCUGCUGCCUCAGCCUCCGGAGUAGCUGGGACUUACAGGCACCUGCUACCACGCCCAGCUAAUUUUUUGUAUUUUUAGUACAGACGGGGUUUCCCUAUGUUGGCCUGGCUGGUCUCAAACUCCUGACCUCAUGAU